UACGAAGGUCCCAAGCGUUGUUCGGAAUCACUGGGCGUAAAGGGAGCGUAGGCGGCGUGGUAAGUCAGAUGUGAAAUCCCGGGGCUCAACCCCCGGAACUGCAUCCGAUACUGCCAUGCUUGAGGGUUGGAGAGGUAGCUGGGAAUUCUCGGUGUAGCAGUGAAAUGCGUGGAUAUCGAGAGGAACACUCGUGGCGAAGGCGAGCUACUGGGACAACAUCUGACGCUGAGGCUCGAAGGCUAGGGGAGCAAAAGGG
rnacentral:rRNA from 1 species